AGAUUAAACUGAAGAGUUUGAUCCUGGCUCAGAUUGAACGCUGGCGGCAUGCCUUACACAUGCAAGUCGAACGGCAGCGCGGGGCAACCUGGCGGCGAGUGGCGAACGGGUGAGUAAUAUAUCGGAACGUACCCUGGAGUGGGGGAUAACGUAGCGAAAGUUACGCUAAUACCGCAUACGAUCUAAGGAUGAAAGUGGGGGAUCGCAAGACCUCAUGCUCCUGGAGCGGCCGAUAUCUGAUUAGCUAGUUGGUAGGGUAAAAGCCUACCAAGGCAUCGAUCAGUAGCUGGUCUGAGAGGACGACCAGCCACACUGGAACUGAGACACGGUCCAGACUCCUACGGGAGGCAGCAGUGGGGAAUUUUGGACAAUGGGCGAAAGCCUGAUCCAGCAAUGCCGCGUGAGUGAAGAAGGCCUUCGGGUUGUAAAGCUCUUUUGUCAGGGAAGAAACGGUGAGGGCUAAUAUCUCUUGCUAAUGACGGUACCUGAAGAAUAAGCACCGGCUAACUACGUGCCAGCAGCCGCGGUAAUACGUAGGGUGCAAGCGUUAAUCGGAAUUACUGGGCGUAAAGCGUGCGCAGGCGGUUUUGUAAGUCUGUCGUGAAAUCCCCGGGCUCAACCUGGGAAUGGCGAUGGAGACUGCAAGGCUAGAGUUUGGCAGAGGGGGGUAGAAUUCCACGUGUAGCAGUGAAAUGCGUAGAUAUGUGGAGGAACACCGAUGGCGAAGGCAGCCCCCUGGGUCAAGACUGACGCUCAUGCACGAAAGCGUGGGGAGCAAACAGGAUUAGAUACCCUGGUAGUCCACGCCCUAAACGAUGUCUACUAGUUGUCGGGUCUUAAUUGACUUGGUAACGCAGCUAACGCGUGAAGUAGACCGCCUGGGGAGUACGGUCGCAAGAUUAAAACUCAAAGGAAUUGACGGGGACCCGCACAAGCGGUGGAUGAUGUGGAUUAAUUCGAUGCAACGCGAAAAACCUUACCUACCCUUGACAUGGCUGGAAUCC
rnacentral:rRNA from 1 species